rnacentral:rRNA from 1 species
CCUACGGGAGGCUGCAGUGGGGAAUAUUGGACAAUGGGGGGAACCCUGAUCCAGCCAUGCCGCGUGUGUGAAGAAGGCCCUCGGGUUGUAAAGCACUUUCAGUGAGGAAGAACGCCUGGUGGUUAAUACCCAUCAGGAAAGACAUCACUCACAGAAGAAGCACCGGCUAACUCCGUGCCAGCAGCCGCGGUAAUACGGAGGGUGCGAGCGUUAAUCGGAAUUACUGGGCGUAAAGCGCGCGUAGGUGGCUUGAUAAGCCGGUUGUGAAAGCCCCGGGCUCAACCUGGGAACGGCAUCCGGAACUGUCAAGCUAGAGUGCAGGAGAGGAAGGUAGAAUUCCCGGUGUAGCGGUGAAAUGCGUAGAGAUCGGGAGAAAUACCAGUGGCGAAGGCGGCCUUCUGGACUGACACUGACACUGAGGUGCGAAAGCGUGGGUAGCAAACAGGAUUAGAUACCCGAGUAGUC